AAAAAAACAACAACAAGGGAAUAAACCCUAAACGAUGCCCCUCCCUUCUCCGUCGCCUUGAAAGCCAGAACUCUCCUCUCUCUCGUUCCGAUUCGGACAGAGUAGAGGAUGGCUCCAAUGGCGCGCAAAGGUAAGAUUCUUCUUCCCUUUUCUCUUUUAUUUUGUAUAUAUUCUAUUACAUAUAAUUAAUAGCAAACAGAAAAGGAAAGAAAAGCAACCGAAAAAAAGAAUAGUAGAGAGAAAGAAGAAAACCUUCUCUUUUUUUUUGUAUUGAUCUUUUUUUGUUUUUGAUACAGUCUCUGUGUGUUCCUUCGUUCGGUUUACAAUCGAUUUUAUAUCGAAACUACAAAAUAAAGAAAAAAGAGAAAAAUCUCAUUCUUUUUCGCUAUUUUAUCUUCUUCCUUUUUUGCUGCUUUGGGCUUGUUGUUUGCUGCAGUAUGGGUACGGAGACGCGUGACGUGGCUCGGCGCGUACGAAGGCAGAGGCUAGCGUGGAGCGGCUCGGAGGCGUGGCUCGUGGGGCCGAGGGAAAACCCUGGUGGCUGCGGCGCUGGAGGCAUUCUGGAAACCCUCGGGGUUUCUGAAAAUUAUUCAAAUCGGGCCAUAGUGUAUUGGGCCUAGGGUUUUGGGUAUGGUUGUAUUUGGGUUUGAUUUUGGGCUAGUAAUUUAGGUUUAGGUUUGGGCCGUGUUGAUUUGGUCUGUACGAUUUUUGGCUUGUAACUAUGGACUGAUAUUAUUUGUAAAUGGA
rnacentral:lncRNA from 1 species